AUUGAACGCUGGCGGCAGGCCUAACACAUGCAAGUCGAACGAGGGGAGGCAGGGAGAGGACUGUCUGGGAAACUGCCUGAUGGAGGGGGAUAAUAGAUGGAAACGGUAGCUAAAAACGCCUAACAUCAGAUGUGGCGAGAUGGGAUGAGCUAGGUGGUGGGGUAACGGCUGACCAAGGCGAAGAUCCCUAGCUGGGAUGAGAGGAUGAACAGCCACACUGGAACUGAGACACGUGCCAGACUCCUACGGGAGGCAGCAGUGGGGAAGCUUGCACAAUGGGCGAAAGCCUGAUUCAGCCAUGCCGCGUGUAUGAAGAAGGCCUUCGGGUUGUAAAGUACUUUCUGCGGGGAAGCGGUACCCGCAGAAUAAGCACCGGCUAACGCCGUGCCAGCAGCCGCGGUAAUUC
rnacentral:rRNA from 1 species